rnacentral:rRNA from 1 species
UACGGGGGGGGCAAGCGUUGUCCGGAAUUAUUGGGCGUAAAGAGCUCGUAGGCGGUUUGUCGCGUCUGCUGUGAAAAUCCAGGGCUUAACCCUGGACCUGCAGUGGGUACGGGCAGACUAGAGUGCGGUAGGGGAGAUCGGAAUUCCUGGUGUAGCGGUGAAAUGCGCAGAUAUCAGGAGGAACACCGGUGGCGAAGGCGGAUCUCUGGGCCGUAACUGACGCUGAGGAGCGAAAGCAUGGGGAGCGAACAGG